AAGACUUGGCGGUGCCCUAUACCACCUAGAGGAGCCUGUUCUAUAAUCGAUAAUCCCCGAUUCACCUCACCAUCUCUUGUCAAUUCUGCCUGUAUACCUCCGUCAUCAACUGACCCCCCAAGGGAAAUAGUCGGUUCAAUGGCUUAUCACCAGAAAGUCAGGUCAAGGUGCAGCGUAUGAGAUGGAAAGCAAUGGGCUACAUUUUCUACCCAUAGACCACACGAAAGAUCACUAUGAAACCUGAUUGUAAGGCGGAUUUAGCAGUAAAAAAAGACUAGAGAGCUUUUUUUAAGUUGGCUCUAGGGCGCGCACACACCGCCCGUCAUUCUCUUCAACCCUAACCUAAAUUAAUUUUUUUAAACUCUUAACCUGGGGAAAGAAGAGGCAAGUCGUAACAUGGUAAGUCCACCGGAAGGUGGACUUGG
rnacentral:rRNA from 1 species